UUACGGCCACAUCAUGUUGGAACACCGGCUCCCGUACGAUCACCGAAUGGAAGCAACCUCGAGCCUUGUCAGUACCUAGAUGUGUGACUACUUGGGGAUACCAGGCGCUGUAAG